UUUUUUUUUUUUUUUGUCAUAUGUUCAAUACCUGCUAAACCUGUGGCAUGUACAGAGGACUGGCUUGGAGUAAGAGAUAAGUGUUUCUGUUUUUCUGAUGAUACCAGAAAUUGGACAGCCAGUAAAAUGUUUUGCAGUUCACAGAAAUCAGAACUUGCUCAGAUUGAUACACAAAAAGAUAUGGAAUUUUUGAAGAGGUUCACAGGAACUGAUACGUACUGGAUUGGACUAAGCAGGAAACCAGGAGAUUCUUGGAAAUGGACAAAUGGCACCAUAUUCAAUAAUUGAUGAGUUUCCAGUAUAUUAGGAAUGUUCUUAUUCUGAUGUUGUAUAAAAAUUUCUAAAUCAU